AGCGUACACGGUGGAUGCCCUGGCAGUCAGAGGCGAUGAAGGGCGUGCUAAUCUGCGAUAAGCGCCGGUAAGGUGAUAUGAACCGUUAUAACCGGCGAUACCCGAAUGGGGAAACCCAGUGUGAUUCGUCACACUAUCAUUAACUGAAUCCAUAGGUUAAUGAGGCGAACCGGGGGAACUGAAACAUCUAAGUACCCCGAGGAAAAGAAAUCAACCGAGAUUCCCCCAGUAGCGGCGAGCGAACGGGGAGGAGCCCAGAGCCUGAAUCAGCAUGUGUGUUAGUGGAAGCGUCUGGAAAGGCGCGCGAUACAGGGUGACAGCCCCGUACACAAAAGCGCAUGUGCUGUGAGCUCGAUGAGUAGGGCGGGACACGUGGUAUCCUGUCUGAAUAUGGGGGGACCAUCCUCCAAGGCUAAAUACUCCUGACUGACCGAUAGUGAACCAGUACCGUGAGGGAAAGGCGAAAAGAACCCCGGCGAGGGGAGUGAAAAAGAACCUGAAACCGUGUACGUACAAGCAGUGGGAGCACAGGUUUACCUGUGUGACUGCGUACCUUUUGUAUAAUGGGUCAGCGACUUAUAUUCUGUAGCAAGGUUAACCGCAUAGGGGAGCCGGAGGGAAACCGAGUCUUAAUUGGGCGUUAAGUUGCAGGGUAUAGACCCGAAACCCGGUGAUCUAGCCAUGGGCAGGUUGAAGGUUGGGUAACACUAACUGGAGGACCGAACCGACUAAUGUUGAAAAAUUAGCGGAUGACCUGUGGCUGGGGGUGAAAGGCCAAUCAAACCGGGAGAUAGCUGGUUCUCCCCGAAAGCUAUUUAGGUAGCGCCUCGUGAAUUCAUCUCCGGGGGUAGAGCACUGUUUCGGCUAGGGGGCCAUCCCGGCUUACCAACCCGAUGCAAACUGCGAAUACCGGAGAAUGUUAUCACGGGAGACACACGGCGGGUGCUAACGUCCGUCGUGAAGAGGGAAACAACCCAGACCGCCAGCUAAGGUCCCAAAGUCAUGGUUAAGUGGGAAACGAUGUGGGAAGGCCCAGACAGCCAGGAUGUUGGCUUAGAAGCAGCCAUCAUUUAAAGAAAGCGUAAUAGCUCACUGGUCGAGUCGGCCUGCGCGGAAGAUGUAACGGGGCUAAACCAUGCACCGAAGCUGCGGCAGCGAACGUAUCACUUAAAGCGAUUCAGCGGGUUACGAUUGACGGAGCGAAGCGACGUCAAAGCGUAUACAAAGUCGAGUCGGUUUAAGGAUACGUUCGUUGGGUAGGGGAGCGUUCUGUAAGCCUGUGAAGGUGGCCUGUGAGGGUUGCUGGAGGUAUCAGAAGUGCGAAUGCUGACAUAAGUAACGAUAAAGCGGGUGAAAAGCCCGCUCGCCGGAAGACCAAGGGUUCCUGUCCAACGUUAAUCGGGGCAGGGUGAGUCGACCCCUAAGGCGAGGCCGAAAGGCGUAGUCGAUGGGAAACGGGUUAAUAUUCCCGUACUUGGUGUUACUGCGAAGGGGGGACGGAGAAGGCUAUGUUGGCCGGGCGACGGUUGUCCCGGUUUAAGCGUGUAGGUGUGUGUUCCAGGUAAAUCCGGUUCACUUUAACACUGAGGCGUGAUGACGAGGCACUACGGUGCUGAAGCAACAAAUGCCCUGCUUCCAGGAAAAGCCUCUAAGCAUCAGGUAACAUCAAAUCGUACCCCAAACCGACACAGGUGGUCAGGUAGAGAAUACCAAGGCGCUUGAGAGAACUCGGGUGAAGGAACUAGGCAAAAUGGUGCCGUAACUUCGGGAGAAGGCACGCUGACACGUAGGUGAAGUGAUUUACUCAUGGAGCUGAAGUCAGUCGAAGAUACCAGCUGGCUGCAACUGUUUAUUAAAAACACAGCACUGUGCAAACACGAAAGUGGACGUAUACGGUGUGACGCCUGCCCGGUGCCGGAAGGUUAAUUGAUGGGGUCAGCGCAAGCGAAGCUCCUGAUCGAAGCCCCGGUAAACGGCGGCCGUAACUAUAACGGUCCUAAGGUAGCGAAAUUCCUUGUCGGGUAAGUUCCGACCUGCACGAAUGGCGUAAUGAUGGCCAGGCUGUCUCCACCCGAGACUCAGUGAAAUUGAACUCGCUGUGAAGAUGCAGUGUACCCGCGGCAAGACGGAAAGACCCCGUGAACCUUUACUAUAGCUUGACACUGAACAUUGAGCCUUGAUGUGUAGGAUAGGUGGGAGGCUUUGAAGCGUGGACGCCAGUCUGCGUGGAGCCGACCUUGAAAUACCACCCUUUAAUGUUUGAUGUUCUAACGUGGACCCGUAAUCCGGGUUGCGGACAGUGUCUGGUGGGUAGUUUGACUGGGGCGGUCUCCUCCUAAAGAGUAACGGAGGAGCACGAAGGUUGGUUAAUCCUGGUCGGACAUCAGGAGGUUAGUGCAAUGGCAUAAGCCAGCUUGACUGCGAGCGUGACGGCGCGAGCAGGUGCGAAAGCAGGUCAUAGUGAUCCGGUGGUUCUGAAUGGAAGGGCCAUCGCUCAACGGAUAAAAGGUACUCCGGGGAUAACAGGCUGAUACCGCCCAAGAGUUCAUAUCGACGGCGGUGUUUGGCACCUCGAUGUCGGCUCAUCACAUCCUGGGGCUGAAGUAGGUCCCAAGGGUAUGGCUGUUCGCCAUUUAAAGUGGUACGCGAGCUGGGUUUAGAACGUCGUGAGACAGUUCGGUCCCUAUCUGCCGUGGGCGCUGGAGAACUGAGGGGGGCUGCUCCUAGUACGAGAGGACCGGAGUGGACGCAUCACUGGUGUUCGGGUUGUCAUGCCAAUGGCACUGCCCGGUAGCUAAAUGCGGAAGAGAUAAGUGCUGAAAGCAUCUAAGCACGAAACUUGCCCCGAGAUGAGUUCU
rnacentral:rRNA from 1 species